AUGACAGAGUGUGCUGAAAAGGAACUGCCAAGAAAACCCGUUGGCCCAGCCCGGGCCCUCGGGUCCCAUGGCCAGCUGGGAUUAUCUAAAGUGGGCGUCCUUAGAGAAAGCAGGAAUUCUCUUCCACCACAGACUGUUGAAACCUCCCCAUUCAACUGUUUUAAAAGCUGCAGAGAAUUAAAAAUAGAAGCUUUCUGGAGGGAGGAGAGGGUCCUUUGGGGGCACUUUGUUUGCUUUGGUUUCUAUCUCCCUCCCUGGAAUGCGGCGAAAACCUGGAGAAGCCAGCACUCAAAGAAGGCCUUGCAGAGAAACGAAACCCCCUCACGCCAGAAUGAAGGAAAAUUUCCAACCAGCACUGGGACCCUUAGCGGGGGAGACUGGAAACGGGUCUGAAUAAUGCAUUCAAGAUAAUUUCAAAAAAUCACCCUUUAACGAGUACCAUAUUCCCUCCAAUUUUCCCUUGUAUAUGAUUCACCAUUUUGCAAAUACUGAUGUAUAAAGAAUGCAUUGAAUGUGGCAAAAGUUGAAGAUAGCCCCUGUGGAUAAGACCUAAUGGACACCAUCCUGAAAUAAUACAUACAGCUCAGCCUCCAGACAUGUGUCUUCAAUUUAAAAUAAUUCAGCAAUCAUGUUCAACCAGAACCUGAUUACACAAAAUGGGACUUUUUAACUCCCAGACUUGGAUCAAAUUUUGAGGCCACAAAAAGGGAGGGGGGGUGGAGAUAAUAUGUGCCAUGUUUAUAUAUUCCAGAUACUAUGAUUAAAUGAUCCACACUCAGAUUUAACUGUUUCUUUGAGCUUAUCAAGGUAUCUCUAACCAUUUCCUACCUAUAGAUACGUGCCAAGCCUUUAUGAGAACUUGUAUCGAAGUCCUGAGCCAAGAUGCAAAAGGAAGAAAGCUGAAAAUCAGUUGGGUUCUUCUGUCUGAAUAUUAUGGUUUCCAAAGCACUGAACUGGGUUAUGUUCUCUACUUCCCUGGAGACUCAGGAAGGAAGAGUUGAGUCUUCUGGUAUGAUACCAGGGUAUCCCGGUUCAUUGUGUCUGCUGUGCUCACCGAAUGAUGCUCUUCCCCUCCUUUGAUCCUUGCCCACCACCUCUCUUCUCC
rnacentral:lncRNA from 1 species